rnacentral:lncRNA from 1 species
UAAAUUUAAAAGUAGAUAAAAACACAUUAAAGAUGGUUGAAAUUUGGAGUGUAGAUAUUUGGUAAGAGCAUUUUAUAUUAUCUCUUUAUUAUCCAUUUUGAUUAAGUUGGAAAUAAGGGUGAUAAAAUGGGAUGAGUUUCGGCCUGCACUCUAAAACUGGUUGAAAAUCUGAGAGGUGCUUCCUUCACCACCACGGUCUUCUUCCAGCUCCUCUCCAAUUUAUAUUUUUUUCAAAAAUAUCUCUAUAAUUUUUUAUAUUUUUAAUUAAAAACCUUCAUUCUUUAUCCUCAUUCACAACACACCUCCUCCCCCUUCUUCUCCUUUUUUUUUCAUUUCCAUCACUCACCCUUAAAUUUCUUUGUGAAUCUUCUUCAAUUUUCAAAAUGGUCAUUUUAUUAUCACUAAAAUAAUUUUUGGAUUAUAUGCUCUACAAAGUUUUGGGAAUUUCAAGAACAAUAUUUUCGAAACAUGAAUUGCUACCUAGUUAAUCAUUAGAUUAACCUGAAUUUUUGAUAUGUAUUUUUCAAAAAAUAUUGACUCACUUUGACCACUCGAAUUUUUAAUUAUAGGUCUAUAUUUAGAGAAAUUAGUUUUAUGUUUUUUGGGGAAAUCAAGACCACCUUAACUCUAUUUUUGGAUCAUUUAGGAAAAAUUUAAGAUUAAGUUUCAUUAACUAUUAGAUCAAACUGAAAAUUUUACUGUUAUUCUAAACAUAUUGUUAUUUACUUCGAUUGGUUAAAUCUUUAAAUAAAUAUUUGUAGUUAAAACAAUUUUUCCACGUAAUAUUCCAAUUAUUUAAGUUGUUAAUAAACAGUGAUCAUAUUGGGUUAAAUUUUGAAUGAUUAUAUUAUUGUUUUGUAUGUAUGGUUGUAUCACUUACUUGAAUACUAUUUUAAGUUAAGCUAAGAACAUGAAUUUGGACCAAGUAUGUUAUACAUGAUGAAUUGGUUGAUUAAUAUGGACAUAUGAGUUUGACCAAAGAUCUCGAGGAGAGAUUCUGUAUUUAUAAUUGAUUAGUAUACACGUUGAUGUUGGGAGUCCUGACGUUGGUGGUUAUCUUGAUACUCUAAUAAGCAUUAAGUCUUAAUUAGAAAAAUAUGAGUUAUGGUGAGAGGAGCAUAAGGUUCUAGUCUAUGUACUGGUUUUGAACAUAGGUGUUAACGGACUAAUCUUGUAGAUGACAUGGUGUAUUGCAUUGACAAUGUCUCUGUAAUAAACAGUGGAGACUCUCACAAGUGUUUGACUUUUCGUGAUUUCGCAUCAACGUUUCAUCCGAAUGAUUGAGUCUAGUAUGAUUGUGGCUUUAUAAUAUGGUUAUUGUUAUGUGCAGAAAUAUAUUUAUGCAUGUCUUAUGAAUGAUCUUUUUCAUGUUAGAUUACCUCUUACUUGUUUGUGUUUGUAUUUGUAUUUGUGCAAUGAUUGUGUAACGUGUGUGCUAUACGGUAGAUAUGACGGAACAACAACUGAUCGAGUGAAACUAAAGAGAGAACUAGAGUAAUAAUCAGGAAGAGUUUUAAUCAUUUCAUAAGUGUUUUAAUUGAAAUUAAAAAUAUGUAUCUUCUAUGUGAACCCCUAAAUUAUUUCUCAAUAAUUAGAAACCAACAAAUAAACAAUGAAUAAUCAUGUAAUUAAAAACAAAAACAAACACAAGAGUAACGAAAAAUAAGUAUAUUGAAUAGUAGAAAUCAAAAUAGUAAAGAUAUAAUAUGUUUAACCCCAAUGAAUAAGAGAGUUAAUUACUCCUAGGA